CCUACGGGGGGCAGCAGUGGGGGAUAUUGCACAAUGGGGGAAACCCUGAUGCAGCGACGCCGCGUGGGCGAAGAAGUAUUUCGGUAUGUAAAGCCCUAUCAGCAGGGAAGAAGAAAUGACGGUACCUGAGUAAGAAGCACCGGCUAAAUACGUGCCAGCAGCCGCGGUAAUACGUAUGGUGCAAGCGUUAUCCGGAUUUACUGGGUGUAAAGGGAGCGCAGGCGGCAGUGCAAGUACGGAGUGAAAGCCCGGGGCUCAACCCUGGGACUGCUCUGGAAACUGUAAAGCUGGAGUGCGGGAGGGGCAGGCGGAAUUCCUGGUGUAGCGGUGAAAUGCGUAGAUAUCAGGAGGAACACCGGCGGCGAAGGCGGCCUGCUGGACCGUAACUGACGUUGAGGCUCGAAAGCGUGGGGAGCAAACAGGAGUAGAUACCCUUGUAGUC
rnacentral:rRNA from 1 species